ACGCUAGCUACAGGCUUAACACAUGCAAGUCGAGGGGAAACGGCAUUGAGUGCUUGCACUCUUUGGACGUCGACCGGCGCACGGGUGAGUAACGCGUAUCCAACCUUCCCAUUACUGUGGGAUAACCUGCCGAAAGGCAGACUAAUACCGCAUAGUCUUCGAUGACGGCAUCAGAUUUGAAGUAAAGAUUUAUCGGUAAUGGAUGGGGAUGCGUCUGAUUAGCUUGUUGGCGGGGUAACGGCACACCAAGGCAACGAUCAGUAGGGGUUCUGAGAGGAAGGUCCCCCACAUUGGAACUGAGACACGGUCCAAACUCCUACGGGAGGCAGCAGUGAGGAAUAUUGGUCAAUGGACGGAAGUCUGAACCAGCCAAGUAGCGUGCAGGAUGACGGCCCUAUGGGUUGUAAACUGCUUUUGUAUGGGGAUAAAGUUAGGGACGUGUCCCUAUUUGCAGGUACCAUACGAAUAAGGACCGGCUAAUUCCGUGCCAGCAGCCGCGGUAAUACGGAAGGUCCAGGCGUUAUCCGGAUUUAUUGGGUUUAAAGGGAGCGUAGGCUGGAGAUUAAGUGUGUUGUGAAAUGUAGACGCUCAACGUCUGAAUUGCAGCGCAUACUGGUUUCCUUGAGUACGCACAACGUUGGCGGAAUUCGUCGUGUAGCGGUGAAAUGCUUAGAUAUGACGAAGAACUCCGAUUGCGAAGGCAGCUGACGGGAGCGCAACUGACGCUUAAGCUCGAAGGUGCGGGUAUCAAACAGGAUUAGAUACCCUGGUAGUCCGCACAGUAAACGAUGGAUGCCCGCUGUUGGUACCUGGUAUCAGCGGCUAAGCGAAAGCAUUAAGCAUCCCACCUGGGGAGUACGCCGGCAACGGUGAAACUCAAAGGAAUUGACGGGGGCCCGCACAAGCGGAGGAACAUGUG
rnacentral:rRNA from 1 species